UUGUUUUCUCGAAGUGAUUUCAUUAAAAAAGGUCUGUGCGUCCUCUUUUUGGUACAGACCUAGACCCACAUCUUCUUACCUCUUCUCCAUUCUUUCAUUUUGCCAGAUAACAUAAACACAAAAAAACCCUAGCACCUUCCCCAUCUCCUCCACCCCAGCCAUCACAACCAUCAUUCCUCCUCCUCCAUGCCGCCGCCACUCCCCCUCCUCCUUCCACGCCGCCGCCUCCCCUCCUCCUUCCUCCUCUGGCGCCGGCUGGCGACAAUCAAAAGAACCUUUAAUUAAUAUGAGAUAUUGUAUUUUAUUUGAAGACUUUGGGAAAAGAAUAUGCACUUAAUUGUUAUAAGGAAGCCGAUUGAUUGGAAUUUAGGUAUCCAUUAUUUCAAAAUAUCAUCUUUACAAGGAUGGAAGCCGAUUGAUUGCAAUUUAAUUGGACUACAGAGGUUUGGUCCCCCUCUUCUGCUACAGAUGUCUGCAGAUGUGGUACGCAAACCAGGGGCGGACUUAGAAUAUAGUGCGGGUGGGCGGGCGCACACCUUGAAAAUAUAAUGUUUAGUGUUAAAUUAGCGUUACAAUCCCGAGCGCAUCCCAUAAAAUUUUGCAAUCGCUCCCGUUGAACUUUGACCAAAUGAUGAAGAAGAUUUGAAGCAGAAAAAAAGUCACCGGAAAAGAAUUUUGCAGAGCCGGAACGGAGAAAAGCUUUAAGUUUUAUUUUAUUAAAGUAGGUUAUUUGAGUAGAAAAGUUUGUGCAGUGGAGUGGUUUUCGUUGGUGGAUUUUGAAACUUAAGAUUUUGUGCAUUAGAAAGUUUGCCAUGUUUUUUAUCCGCCGGUUAUUGUUGGUUUUGAAAAAUCACUUUAAGGCUAUUUGUGGCAGAGCCGGAACGGAGAAAAGCUUUAAGUGUGAA